GCUCAGAUUGAACGCUGGCGGCAGGCUUAACACAUGCAAGUCGAGCGGAAACGAUGGUAGCUUGCUACCAGGCGUCGAGCGGCGGACGGGUGAGUAAUACUUAGGAAUCUACCUAGUAGUGGGGGAUAGCACGGGGAAACUCGUAUUAAUACCGCAUACGACCUACGGGAGAAAGGGGGCAGUUUACUGCUCUCGCUAUUAGAUGAGCCUAAGUCGGAUUAGCUAGAUGGUGGGGUAAAGGCCUACCAUGGCGACGAUCUGUAGCUGGUCUGAGAGGAUGAUCAGCCACACCGGGACUGAGACACGGCCCGGACUCCUACGGGAGGCAGCAGUGGGGAAUAUUGGACAAUGGGGGAAACCCUGAUCCAGCCAUGCCGCGUGUGUGAAGAAGGCCUUUUGGUUGUAAAGCACUUUAAGCAGUGAAGAAGACUCUUCGGUUAAUACCCGGAGACGAUGACAUUAGCUGCAGAAUAAGCACCGGCUAACUCUGUGCCAGCAGCCGCGGUAAUACAGAGGGUGCAAGCGUUAAUCGGAAUUACUGGGCGUAAAGCGAGCGUAGGUGGCUUGAUAAGUCAGAUGUGAAAUCCCCGGGCUUAACCUGGGAACUGCAUCUGAAACUGUUAGGCUAGAGUAGGUGAGAGGGAAGUAGAAUUUCAGGUGUAGCGGUGAAAUGCGUAGAGAUCUGAAGGAAUACCGAUGGCGAAGGCAGCUUCCUGGCAUCAUACUGACACUGAGGCUCGAAAGCGUGGGUAGCAAACAGGAUUAGAUACCCUGGUAGUCCACGCCGUAAACGAUGUCUACUAGUCGUUGGGUCCCUUGAGGACUUAGUGACGCAGCUAACGCAAUAAGUAGACC
rnacentral:rRNA from 1 species